AGCACCACGUUGACGGUUACUCUGUGCAGCACACUCAGGACUUCCUCCUUUCUUCAUGUUUCCGUAGCCGCCUAAACCAGUCAUCUUUUCACCAUCGCUGAGAAAUCAUAUAAGAAUAUUUGGAUCCUGAAUACAACUUGGUUAGGGCCGAAGCUACCACAGAGAUUGCCGGGGCUAAGAGUCCCUGAUCCACCUACCUAGGCCCUUCACCAGGGAGCAUCCCUGAGCUUCAGCAUGUCACAGCAGCACAUGCUGGCCUUUUGGAUCAUCCUUCUGUUCAGUCGUGGCUCAACAGCAUCCUCAAAUGUUUCUUCUCCAAGCCCUGAGAGAGCAGUGAUAACCAUGCCAACAGGUGUGGCCGAGGUCCUAACGUCAGCUCCUCCACUCCACAGCUCAACAGCAUCCUCAAAUGUUUCUUCUCCAAGCCCUGAGAGAGCAGUGAUAACCAUGCCAACAGGUGUGGCCGAUGUCCGAACGUCAGCUCCUCCACUCCACAGUAAGCCAGUCAAGCUGAAAACACUUUAACUUUCAUCCAUUACAAGGGAGAUGAUGAGGUCAAACUGUUGACACUUUGUUCUUGUUUUUGUGCUAAAGUGCUGAUUUCAGUUUCACUCUCAUUAACCUCGUUUGUCAAAUUUGACUGUCCCAAAAGUUUGAAGUGAUCCACAUAUUAGCGAGUAGACUUAUAGUCAAAUGUAAACCAUGGGCCUACAUAUUGGGAUAACCAUUCAUUUUUUCAUGAAAAGUGUUAGUGACAAUCACAUAAUUAACUAUGUGGUAAUGCAAUUUAUUAGAGUUGAGUGAACUGUGGCAUCAGGGUUGCCUGCGUGUGGUCUGUCCUUCUAUAAUCACUCAUAAGCAUGUAAUUAUACCACACAACAGCAUCAGCACUGUUGGCUUUGGCUCUGGUUCUGGAACUGAAGAAAAAUAACACUGGGCAUUUAACAUUAAAGUACUGGAGUAUUAAAGUACUGAUCUGAUCAGCUAUGCAUCACGGUGAUCACAAGUGUUUGUUUUUGCCUUCGCAGGCUUUCCCUUUUCUCAAUGAACUGCUAACGGACACAGACAUUCUGAAAAUGUCCCUUGUGCUUUUUAACUGUGCACCUAUGUUCCAUCUUUGCAGGUUCAACAGCUUCCUCAAAUGCUUUUCUCCCAAGCAAUGAGACAGCAACGCCCACGUCAGAUAAUACAACAACUGUCCCUGUUACCACAAAUGUGACCGAGGUCCUAACAUCAGUUCCUCCAUCCCACAGUAAGCCAGUCAAGUUGAAAACACACUGGACAACAUACUACACUUUCAGCCAUUACAAGGGAGA
rnacentral:lncRNA from 1 species